NNNNNNNNNNNNNNNNNNNNNNNNNNNNNNNUUGCUACUUCUCCGCCAUCUUGACUCCUCCCCCUCCUAAAUUUUUUUCUUGAAGACAUUAAAAUCCCAAUAAUUAUAAACAAAUGAUGUAUUAUACCUUGACUAAUUGAAUUUAAAUAAAAAUUAAAAAGAACUAUUACAAACAGUAAAAAUAUAUACACAGUUUAAUUAAUUAAUUAAUGUUAGUCACCAUACAGUACAUCAUUAGUUUUUGAUGUAGUGUUCCAAGAUUCAUUGUUUGCAUAUAACACUAAGUGCUCCACGCAAUACAUGCCCUACUUAAUGCCCAUUAGCAGGCUCACCCAUCCGCUCACUCCCCUCGCCUCAGUGUGUUUCUUGGUGUUCAUAGCCUCUCAUUGUUUGUCUCCCACUCUGAUUCCCCUAACUAUGCCUUUUCCUAACGUCCUCCAUGUUAUUCCUUAUGUUCCACAAGUAAGUGAAACCAUUUGAUAAUUGACUCUCUCUGUUUGACUGAUUUCACUCAGCAUAAUAUCCUGCAGUCCUAUCGAUGUUGAUACAAAAGUUGGGUAUUCAUUCUUUGUGAUGGAGCUGUAAUACUCCAUAGUAUAUAUGGACCAUAUCUUCUUUAUACGUUCAUCUGUUGAAGGGCAUCUUGGCUCUUUCCAUAGUUUGGCAAUUGUAGCCAUUGCUGCUAUGAACAUUGAGGUACAUAUGGCCCUUCUUUUCACUACAUCUUUAUCUUUGGGAUGAAUACCUAGUAGUGCAAUUGCAGGGUCAUAUGGUAGUUCUAUUUUCAAAAUUUUGAGGAAACUUCACACUGUUUUCCAAAGAGGCUGUGCCAACUGGCAUUCCCACCAAGACUGUAAGAGUGUUCCCCUUUCUCUACAUCCUCUCCAACACUUGUUGUUUCUUGCCUUGUUAAUUUUUCCAACAGGUGUAAGGUGAUAUCUCAGUGUAACUUUGAUUUGAAUUUCCCUGAUGGCUAGUGAUGAUGAACAUUUUUUUCCUGUACCUGUUAGCCAUUUGUAUGUCUUCUUUGGAGAAGUGUCUGUUUAUGUCUUCUGCCUACUUUUUGACUUGAUUAUUUGUUUUUUGGGUGUUGAGUUUGAGAAGUUCUUUAUAGAUCCUGGAUACCAAUCCUUUAUCUGUCAUUUGCAAAUAUCUUCUCCCACUUCAUGCAUUGCCUUUGUUUUAUUGACUGUUACCUUUGCUGUGCAGAAGCUUUUUAUGUUGAUGAAGCCCCAAAAGUUCAUUUUUGCUUUUGUUUCCCUUGCCUUUGUAGACAUGACUUCAAGGAAGUUGCUGUGGCUGAUGUCAAAGAGGUUACUGCCUAUGUUCUCCUCUAGGAUAUUGAUGGAUUCCUGUCUCACAUUGAGGCUGUACUUGACAAAUCAAAGCAUACCUACUUAAUGAUCCAAACACUCCCCACUACAAGCAAGGAGGAACUCUGUAGAGGAUGAAUCAGUGAGAAAAAGGAGUCAAAACACAACAGCAGAGUGUGCACAGGUGAAAUACUUCCUGACACCAGUGACACCGGAAAUACUUCCUGAAGUUCUCUUUUUGUUGUUGUUAUUAUCACUGUUUUUUCUUUCUUUUCUUUUUUCCCCCUUCCUCUUUCUUUUAUGGACACAACAAUUAGAUAGAGAAAUUCACUGCAAAAGAAAGAACAGAAGGUAGUACUCUCUGCCAUGGAUUUAAUCAAUAUGGAUAUAAGUAGGAUGUCUGAACUAGAAUUUAUUUAUUUAUUUAUAAAAGAUUUUAUUUAUUUAUUUGACAGAGAGAAAUCACAAGUAGAUGGAGAGGCAGGCAGAGAGAGAGAGAGGGAAGCAGGCUCCCUGCUGAGCAGAGAGCCCGACAUGGGACUGGAUCCCAGGACCCUGAGAUCAUGACCUGAGCCGAAGACAGCGGCUUAACCCACUGAGCCACCCAGGUGCCCUGAACUAGAAUUUAAAGUAACAAUUGUAGAGAUGCUCGUGGGGCUUGAAAAAAGGGUAGAAGACAUUAGAAAAUCCCUUAAUGCAGAAAUAAAAGAACUAAAAUCUAAACAGGUUGAAAUUAAAAAUACUAUUACUGGGAUGCAUAAAAAAUGGAGGCUCUAACAUCGAGGAUAAAUGAAGCAGAAUGGCAAGUGAGUGAUAUAGAAGGCAAAAUGAUGGAAAAUAAAUAAGCCAAGUAGAAAAGAGAAAGACAACUACUGGAUCAUAAAGCAGACUUUGAGAAAUAAUUGAUUCUUUAAGGGAAAAUCAUAUCUGGAUAAUAUAGGUCCCAGAAGAUAAAGACAGGAGAGAAGGUUUAUUUGAAGAUGAGAUGAGAUGAGAACAUUAUAGAUGAGAACAUUAUAUUAUAGAUGAGAACAUCCCUAAUCUGGGGAUGGAAAUAGUCAUUCAGAUCCAGGAGGCACAGAGAACCCCUCUCAAAAUCAAUGAAAAUAGGUCAACACUCCAACAUAAAGCGAAGCUUGCAAAUUUCAGAGAUAAAGAAAAAAUCCUGAAAGCAGCUCAAGACAGGAGGUUUUUAACCUACAAUUGUAGAAACAUAAGGAUGGCAACAGGCCUGUCCACAGAGACCUGGAAGGCCAGAAAAGACUGACAUGAUAUAUUCAAUGUGUUAAGCAGGAAAAAUAUGCAGCCAAGAAUACUUUAUUAAGCAAGGCUGUCAGUCAGAAUAGAAUGAGAGAAACCAAAUGGAGUUUCCAGGACAGAAACCAGAGGAAUUUGUGAACAUUAAACCAACCCUGCAAGAAAUAUUAGGGGAUCCUUUGAACAAAGAGCCAUAGUAACAAAGACCAGAAAGGAACAGAGAAAAUCUACAGAAAUAAUAACUUUACAGGUAAUACAAUGACAUUAACUUCAUAUCUUUCAAUAAUUACUCUGAAUAUAAAUGGAUUUAGAACUCCAAUCAAAGGACAUAGGGUAUCAGGUUGGAUUAAAAAAGGAAGAAAACAAGAUCCAUUGAUAUUCUGUCUAGAAGACACUCAUUUUAGACCCAAAGACACCACCAGAUUGAAAGUGAGAGGGUGGAGAACCAUUUAUCAUGCUAAUGGAUAUGAAAAGAAACCUGGAGUAGCAAUCCUUGAACCCUGGAUCACAGGUGGUCCCAUUGAGGUAUGUUUAGCAAGCCUUCAUCUAGGAACCAUGGAGCCGCCUUUUCCACUGUAUUCAAAAAGGCCAGAGCAGUUUUUGCUUUUAGUGGAGUUCCAUUGGCUUUCAGCAGGUCUUUUAAAGACCCUUCCAACCGCACUUUAGAUACUUCAGAUCCCAUUAUGAACACACAGACAACAGACAUGGACGUUAAAGACACUAAAUAGCAAAUUAACUUUUUACACGCAUAUACUUCAGUCGACCUUUACUCCCCACUUUACCACAGAAUUCCCACUUUUGAACAUGGCCUUUACUCCCUGCUUUACUGCGGAAUUCCCACUUUUGAAUGUGGCUAAUGUCCCCACUUACCUGCGGACCUUUACUCCCCGCUUUCUUGCAGAUUACCUUGCAAGAUUCCUUUAUUUAGUUCCCGGGUUUCAGCCCUCGACCCGCAAGGAUGACAAGAAUCCCCAGUUCAGAUGUAUCUUCUCUCUCUUUAUUUCUGCAAGUCUAUACACUUAUAUACGUUUACAUGACCAAUCAGUGAGCAGGGUACAGGAGGGAGCAAAUCAGGCUGCGCACCUAAACGAACAACUUCGCUAGCAACCAAUGCUGUUUACUUCCUCUUUGGGCNNNNN
rnacentral:lncRNA from 1 species